rnacentral:rRNA from 1 species
GUAAUAUAUAGUUAAUGUGCCCCAAAGACCGGGAUAGCCACUGGAAACGAUGAUUAAUACCGGAUACUCCUUCUAACUCUAAUGUUAGUCGGGAAAGUUUUUCGCUAAGAGAUCGGUCUAUAUCCCAUCAGUUAGUUGGUAAGGUAACGGCUUACCAAGGCAAUGACGGGUAGCGGGUUUGAGAGGAUGAUCCGCCACACUGGUACUGAGACACGGACCAGACUCCUACGGGAGGCAGCAGUGAGGAAUAUUGCACAAUGGGGGAAACCCUGAUGCAGCAACGCCGCGUGGAGGAUGACGCAUUUCGGUGUGUAAACUCCUUUUAUGAGUCAAGAAAAUGACGGUAGCUCAUGAAUAAGCACCGGCUAACUCCGUGCCAGCAGCCGCGGUAAUACGGAGGGUGCAAGCGUUACUCGGAAUCACUGGGCGUAAAGGACGCGUAGGCGGGAUGCCAAGUCUGAUGUGAAAUCCUAUGGCUUAACCAUAGAACUGCAUUGGAAACUGGUAACCUAGAGUAUGGGAGGGGGAGAUGGAAUUAGUGGUGUAGGGGUAAAAUCCGUAGAUAUCACUAGGAAUACCGAAAGCGAAGGCGAUCUCCUGGAACAUAACUGACGCUAAGGCGUGAAAGCGUGGGGAGCAAACGGGAUUAGAUACCCCGGUAGUCCACGCCCUAAACGAUGAACACUAGUCGUCGCUCUGCUUGUCAGGGCGGUGAUGCACUUAACAGAUUAAGUGUUCCGCCUGGGGAGUACGGCCGCAAGAUUAAAACUCAAAGGAAUAGACGGGGACCCGCACAAGUGGUGGAGCAUGUGGUUUAAUUCGAAGAUACGCGAAGAACCUUACCUAGCCUUGACAUUGAUAGAAUACCCUAGAGAUAGAGUAGUGCCUUUCGGGGAACUUGAAAACAGGUGCUGCACGGCUGUCGUCAGCUCGUGUCGUGAGAUGUUGGGUUAAGUCCCGCAACGAGCGC